GGCCUUGUGGCCUAAUGGAUAAGGCGUCGGACUUCGGAUCCGAAGAUUGCAGGUUCGAGUCCUGCCA
rnacentral:tRNA from 1 species